rnacentral:rRNA from 1 species
UACGAAGGGGCUAGCGUUGCUCGGAUUGACUGGGCGUAAAGGGCGCGUAGGCGGUUCGUACAGUCAGACGUGAAAUUCCUGGGCUCAACCUGGGGCUGCGUUUGAUACGUGCGGACUUGAGUGCGGAAGAGGGUCGUGGAAUUCCAGUGUAGAGGUGAAAUUCGUAGAUAUUGGGAAGAACACCGGUGGCGAAGGCGGCGACCUGGUCCGAUACUGACGCUGAGACGCGAAGCGUGGGAGCGAA